CCUACGGGGGGCAGCAGUGGGGAAUAUUGGACAAUGGGGGGAACCCUGAUCCAGCCAUGCCGCGUGUGUGAAGAAGUCCCUCGGGUUGUAAAGCACUUUCAGUGAGGAAGAACGCCUGGUGGUUAAUACCCAUCAGGAAAGACAUCACUCACAGAAGAAGCGCCGGCUAACUCCGUGCCAGCAGCCGCGGUAAUACGGAGGGUGCGAGCGUUAAUCGGAAUUACUGGGCGUAAAGCGCGCGUAGGUGGCUUGAUAAGCCGGUUGUGAAAGCCCCGGGCUCAACCUGGGAACGGCAUCCGGAACUGUCAAGCUAGAGUGCAGGAGAGGAAGGUAGAAUUCCCGGUGUAGCGGUGAAAUGCGUAGAGAUCGGGAGGAAUACCAGUGGCGAAGGCGGCCUUCUGGACUGACACUGACACUGAGGUGCGAAAGCGUGGGUAGCAAACAGGAUUAGAUACCCGUGUAGUC
rnacentral:rRNA from 1 species